rnacentral:lncRNA from 1 species
GGACAACAUUUUCCUCUUAGAAAGGAUACGAACGUUGAUGUCCGAUGAACACGACAUCAAUACAUACAUAAAUUCAUUCAUGAAUUACACAUACUUCAGUGAAUAUUUACAAAACAAAUACAUAAUAGCCAAGAUACAACAUUCAUAAGAUUCAUCCGAGCAAAAAAACAUUACAUGAUCACUAUUUUCAUAAACAAGACAAUAAAGGAGAAGUGAAAAAUUAGG